GUAGGUGGCAAGCGUUGUCCGGAAUUAUUGGGCGUAAAGCGCGCGCAGGCGGUUCUUUAAGUCUGAUGUGAAAGCCCACGGCUCAACCGUGGAGGGUCAUUGGAAACUGGAGAACUUGAGUACAGAAGAGGAAAGCGGAAUUCCACGUGUAGCGGUGAAGUGCGUAGAGAUGUGGAGGAACACCAGUGGCGAAGGCGGCUUUCUGGUCUGUAACUGACGCUGAGGCGCGAAAGCGUGGGGAGCAAACAGGAUUAGAUACCCUGGUAGUCCACGCCGUAAACGAUGAGUGCUAAGUGUUAGGGGGGUUUCCGCCCCCCUUAGUGCUGCAGCUAACGCAUUAAGCACUCCGCCUGGGAGUACGGCCGCAAGGCUG
rnacentral:rRNA from 1 species